rnacentral:rRNA from 1 species
AUACGUAGGUGACAAGCGUUAUCCGGAUUUACUGGGCGUAAAGGGCGUGUAGGCGGUCUUGCAAGUCAGAAGUGAAAUUCCUGAGCUCAACUCGGGCGCUGCUUCUGAAACUGCAGGACUUGAGUGCUGGAGGGGAUAGCGGAAUUCCUAGUGGAGCGGUAAAAUGCGCAGAUAUUAGGAAGAACACCGGUGGCGAAGGCGGCUAUCUGGACAGUAACUGACGCUGAGGCGCGAAAGCGUGGGGAGCAAACAGGAUUAGAUACCCUGGUAGUCCACGCUGUAAACGAUGAAUACUAGGUGUAGGGGGUAUCGACUCCCUCUGUGCCGCAGUUAACACAAUAAGCAUUCCGCCUGGGGAGUACGGCCGCAAGGUUGAAACUCAAAUGAAUUGACGGGG